rnacentral:rRNA from 1 species
UACGUAGGGUGCAGGCGUUAAUCGGAAUUACUGGGCGUAAAGCGUGCGCAGGCGGUUUCUUAAGUCAGAUGUGAAAGCCCCGGGCUUAACCUGGGAACUGCCUUUGAUACUGGGGAUCUCGAGUCCGGAAGAGGUGAGUGGAACUGGCGAGUGUAGAGGUGAAAUUCGUAGAUAUCUGGAGGAACACCGGUGGCGAAGGCGGCUACCUGGACCGGUUCUGACGCUGAGGCACGAAAGCGUGGGGAGCAAACAGG